GCAGGUGUAGUUUAAUGGUAGAACUUCAGCCUUCCAAGCUGACUGUGAGGGUUCGAUUCCCUUCACCUGCUCCA
rnacentral:tRNA from 31 species